ACUCAAAUGAAUAGACGGGGACCCGCACAAGCGGUGGAUGAUGUGGAUUAAUUCGAUGCAACGCGAAAAACCUUACCUACCCUUGACAUGGAUGGAACCUUAAAGAGAUUUGAGGGUGCUCGAAAGAGAACCAUUACACAGGUGCUGCAUGGCUGUCGUCAGCUCGUGUCGUGAGAUGUUGGGUUAAGUCCCGCAACGAGCGCAACCCUUGUCAUUAGUUGCUACGCAAGAGCACUCUAAUGAGACUGCCGGUGACAAACCGGAGGAAGGUGGGGAUGACGUCAAGUCCUCAUGGCCCUUAUGGGUAGGGCUUCACACGUCAUACAAUGGUACAUACAGAGGGCCGCCAACCCGCGAGGGGGAGCUAAUCCCAGAAAGUGUAUCGUAGUCCGGAUUGUAGUCUGCAACUCGACUGCAUGAAGUUGGAAUCGCUAGUAAUCGCGGAUCAGCAUGUCGCGGUGAAUACGUUCCCGGGUCUUGCACACACCGCCCGU
rnacentral:rRNA from 1 species